UACGGGGGGCAAGCGUUGUUCGGAAUUACUGGGCGUAAAGGGCUCGUAGGUGGCCAACUAAGUCAGGACGUGAAAUCCCUCAGCUUAACUGGGGAACUGCGUCUGAUACUGGAUGGCUUGAGUUUGGGAGAGGGAUGCGGAAUCCAGGUGUAGCGGUGGAAAUGACGUAGAUAUCUGGAGGAACACCGGUGGCGAAGGCGGCCUGCUGGGCA
rnacentral:rRNA from 1 species